AACGAACGCUGGCGGCAUGCCUAACACAUGCAAGUCGAACGAGACCUUCGGGUCUAGUGGCGCACGGGUGCGUAACGCGUGGGAACCUGCCCUUAGGUUCGGAAUAACUCCCCGAAAGGGGUGCUAAUACCGGAUAAUGUCUUCGGACCAAAGAUUUAUCGCCUUUGGAUGGGCCCGCGUUGGAUUAGCUAGUUGGUAGGGUAAAAGCCUACCAAGGCGACGAUCCAUAGCUGGUCUGAGAGGAUGAUCAGCCACACUGGGACUGAGACACGGCCCAGACUCCUACGCGAGGGAGCAGUGGGGAAUAUAGGACAAUGGGCGAAAGCCUGAUCCAGCAAUGCCGCGUGAGUGAUGAAGGCCUUAGGGUUGUAAAGCUCUUUUACCCGGGAUGAUAAUGACAGUACCGGGAGAAUAAGCUCCGGCUAACUCCGUG
rnacentral:rRNA from 1 species